CCCAGGUCAGGCGGGGCUACCCGCUGAAUUUAAGCAUAUCAAUAAGCGGAGGAAAAGAAACUUACAAGG
rnacentral:rRNA from 2 species